UGCUGCCAGCCCUGCUUUUGAGCCGGUGGGGGCAGACGGAUGAGGAAGGCAGGGCUGUUGUGUGGGCAGAAGCAGGCAGCGCGGGUGACUGAUCACCCACCAGGUUAGCCUGAGUGGGACGAGGAAGGGCUCAGGAAGGGAGAAGCAGCAGCCUCUGAGAGCAUCCAAUUGUUGCGUUGGUGGAAAGAAGAGUCCUGAAGGUGUCAUGCCUGCUCCUCAGCUGACUUUUAAGGAGCUUUAUGCAUGUUUAGUCCAAAAAUGGUUAAAAAAUGGCUUGCUUUCCACCAACUAUAUAUAUCAUGGCCCCAAAAAUACAGUUUUCAUAGUGAAAUUGAGCCUCUGGCUGCACAUCCAGAACGUGACCUUGGGUAGCCCAUGCCCACCAGCAAUGGGGAGAGCAAUCCUGCAACAGCACUGUGUACAGGAAUGGUAUUUCCCUGGGGCUUGUCUCUCUCAGAAAAAAGAAAAAAAAGAAGCAGUGGUGCAGAUAAGAAAUGACCAUUUACUUUUCUCAAAUGAUUCUUUCACAGGGUCUGGAUGGCUUGUGAGCACCCCAUGCCCAUGAACGGCGGGACGGAGCAGCCAGCAGGAGCCAAGCGUGGAGCUGCCCGACCAGCUUCUCUGUCUGGCGAGGGGAAUAACCUUAUACCGUAAAAAUGAUUUACAGAAAUCUCAAGGCUGCCAAUACAGUCUUGCUCCAACUCUUGCAUUAGAGAGGGGAAAAUACUUGGUUUUAUAUUUAAAAUGAGGAAUAAUCUGUUCUCUGAAUUAGGACAGCUGAGGACUUUAUGUGCCCAGUGUAGCACAGCAUCAGGAAUUAUGAUGCUUAAAUUCACAUUCUGGUGUCCAGGGUCAAACCCCUCACUAAUGCCUUAAGACAUGGGGCAUAAAUAGACCAUGUCUUACUCUGCAGGCACACACAUUUAACUUCUGGGUUCCUUUUCAAGAUCGCCUCUCCAUUUACAGAAUUUUUUUACUGUCUGUUUACAAGAGAUUUCAAAUGGUUCUUUAAGAAAUACAGUUUCAUUGCAUCAUAGGAGUAUUUUUGAUACUUAAUAUGAACAUUGGAUUACUAAAUAUAUAUUAUGUUGAACCUUUCUCUGACCUCAUUCUGUUAAUCUUGAUAUCCAGGUAACCUUGGUAAGGAAACAGGCACUGUCACAGAUGGUUUGGAAAAUGAACCCUAAUGUCGAUGUAGUGCAGCGUAGGAACAGAUGAAUACGUUAAAACAGACUGACACAUGGGCUGGAAAUGGAGGAAAUGCUCCAGGCCGUGCUCUGGGCUCAGUUUGUACAACUCAAGAGUCAUUAUAUACUUGCUGUCUCCCCGCCACGGUUACUUGAAGGAGGACUGUGCUCAGGCAGUGGCUGCAGUGCAGAUUUGUCUCCCAAAAGACAUAAUUUCUAAUGAUGAACUAGGACUGAGCCUUUUUUUGCAGGGAGUUUAUACAUUUCCAGGCCGGCCUUGCUGGACACCAGUCUGUUUCUGUCCAAGCUGUUUCCACGUUGAAAGCACAGCGUUUGGCCAUGCAAAUAUGGCACUAAAUAACACUCCUACUGUGAUUUGAAUUUUAUGUACUGUAAGCAUUGCUAUUCAGGUGAUGAGUCCAAGGAGAUAAAAAGAUAAUGUCACGCAUUUCAAAUGGCAAUAUUUUGUGGAUUUCCUGUUUAUAUUUCAAAUAUUAGGAGGCUACCAAGGUGGUCAUUUCAUUUAUAGAUGGUUUGGCUGAUGCUGGCAUCCAGUAUUUGUCCACCUCUGCUGUUUUUGCAGUAGCUGUUUCCUGUAUUUGACAGUCUCCCUGUGUUUUAUCCACAUGCUGGGCCAAGCACUUUCUCCAGCUCUUAUCCAAGAGGUGGUUAUAGGAGAACUGAGCCAUAUGUGACUGAGAGUUUAAAUACUGGCACAUGGACAGCCAACAUGCUCUUAAACACAAAUGGCUAACUUGCAGCGGUGGUGAGGACCAGGAGAUGAAUGUCACCUUGCAAUAUCUCACCUUGCGUUUUAUCCAUGUCUUGAAGGCCCACACAUAGCCUGAGGUCCCAGGACAAGAGCUGGCUCCAGCAGCACCUGACUUCCAGGGACCCUCACUCCUGCCUGGAUCGAGCCCUUGAGCACUUCGGCUGUUGGAGCUGCGUGCGUGCACGGGCACAGCAGCCACUCGGCUUGCCACAGCAGGUUUCCCCAUGCAGUAAAUCGGUUAAUAACAGUAAAAUUUCAAAAGCCUUUUUUUUAACCACAGAGAAUAAAUAAAGCCAAAGGCUGAAUGUGAGGAUGGUUUUAUUCAGGCCAGGUUUGAAUGCAGCCUCUAAUUUAGCCAAUAUACUUUGAAUUGUAUAUAGAUUCAACAUUUACUUCUCAGAAGUUUAAGGUUCCUUAAAAGGUCAUAUUUCAUUUUGUAUUAGAACAGGCCAUGUUGGCUUUCUGCUCGUGGUUUUUUUGCACGUAUGAGCACUUAAGGUAAAAUGUUUUCUACUUCCAAAAGCAGCAAGUGUACAGACACUUAAUAAAAAAAUGUUUUCUUCAUGCCCA